rnacentral:rRNA from 1 species
CCUACGGGUGGCAGCAGUGAGGAAUAUUGGUCAAUGGGAGAGAUCCUGAACCAGCCAAGCCGCGUGAGGGAAGACGGCCCUAUGGGUUGUAAACCUCUUUUGUCGGGGAACAAAACCCGGGACGAGUCCCGGACUGCGUGUAUCCGAAGAAAAAGCAUCGGCUAACUCCGUGCCCGCAGCCGCGGUAAUACGGGGGAUGCGAGCGUUAUCCGGGUUUAUUGGGUUUUAAGGGUGCGUAGGCGGUCUGUUCAGGCAGCGGUAAAAUUGCGGGGCUCAACCCCGUCGAGACGUUGAAACUGGCAGACUUGAGUGGGCGAGAAGUACGCGGAAGGCGUGGUGUAGCGGUGAAAUGCAUAGAUAUCGCGCAGAACGCCGAUUGCGAAGGCAGCGUACCGGCGCCAGACUGACGCUGAGGCACGAAAGCGUGGGGAUCGAACAGGAUUAGAUACCCGAGUAGUC